rnacentral:rRNA from 1 species
CAGCCGCCGCGGUAAUACGUAGGGUGCGAGCGUUAAUCGGAAUUACUGGGCGUAAAGCGUGCGCAGGCGGUUUUGUAAGACAGGCGUGAAAUCCCCGGGCUCAACCUGGGAAUGGCGCUUGUGACUGCAAAGCUAGAGUGCGGCAGAGGGGGAUGGAAUUCCGCGUGUAGCAGUGAAAUGCGUAGAUAUGCGGAGGAACACCGAUGGCGAAGGCAAUCCCCUGGGCCAGCACUGACGCUCAUGCAUGAAAGCGUGGGGAGCAAACAGGAUUAGAUACCCCGGUAGUCCCUGUCUCUUAUAC